rnacentral:lncRNA from 1 species
AUUAUUUACUAUAUUUAAAAAAUUUUCUAGAAUUUCAUAAAUAAAUAUAAAAAACAAAACAAAAACAUUUAUAUGUAUAGUUUUUAAUAGAUAUUUUAUAAACCUAACAACAAUGAAAAAUUUAAAAACCAUUUAUUUUACUUUUCUACUAUUUACAAGCUUAAUAAUAUAUUUUCAGAAUUUCUCGUUUGUAAACAGUUCAAAAAAUGAUAAUAAUAAUACGAAGGUAAAUUGUAAGAAGGAAACACCUAAAUGCGAUAAUAAUGCUUUAAAGAAAAUAAUUAAAAUAGAGAGUAAAGUAGUAAAAAAAUAUAUAAAUGACGCAGGUAAAGGAGAAAUUAAUCUAAACAUUAAUGCGAUACAGGAUAAAAUUAUGGAAAUAAUAAAUAAGAAAAAAAUAACAUAUGAACAGUAUAAAAUAGAUUCUAUGGCAAACAGAAUAUAUCAACGUUUAAAAGAUUUAAAUAUAAAUAAUAAAAAUUUUCAUUCUGUAUAUUCUAUUUAUAAACUAGAAAACUGCAUAACUAAGAAAUUAAUAAAAACCAUACAAUCUUGUCCUUUUUCAAAAAAUGUUAAUGCUAAAAACUACUUUAAAAGUUUAAGACAUCAAAUUAUUGCAGAUAAUAAUGCUUCCACAUUAUUAAAUAAAAAUUUAAUUACUAAGAUGACAUGGAGAGUGAUUCAGCGCACUGGUGACACUAUUUUUUGUGAUUCUUCUUCUUAUAUUGACUUAGUAAAAUUUUGUGAAGCAGCGGAUAAUGAACAAUGUGUUAUUGAAAAUCAAGAUAGACAUGAUAAUUUAAAUAAUAUUAAACGAAAAAAUUUUAAAGAAGUUGAAAAGGAAGAUUAAAAACAAAGUUGAUAUGGGUUUAUUAUAAUGAUGUAUAUGUUAUAAAUUUAUUUUCAAUGUUUUAAUUACGUAAUUCGAUUAGUAAUAUUAAUUAAUUAUAUAUACAUAUAUGAACAUUGAUAUUGCAUGUACACUUAUUAACAUAUUUUUACAUUUUUGUAGUUAAGAAGGUAUAUACACAUUUUAUAUAUGUUGCAGUGUUAAUGAGCACAUAUAUAGGUA